rnacentral:rRNA from 1 species
UGGGGAAUAUUGGACAAUGGGCGAAAGCCUGAUCCAGCCAUGCCGCGUGUGUGAAGAAGGCCUUUUGGUUGUAAGCACUUUAAGCGAGGAGGAGGCUACUUAGAUUAAUACUCUAGGAUAGUGGACGUUACUCGCAGAAUAAGCACCGGCUAACUCUGUGCCAGCAGCCGCGGUAAUACAGAGGGUGCGAGCGUUAAUCGGAUUUACUGGGCGUAAAGCGUGCGUAGGCGGCUUUUUAAGUCGGAUGUGAAAUCCCUGAGCUUAACUUAGGAAUUGCAUUCGAUACUGGGAAGCUAGAGUAUGGGAGAGGAUGGUAGAAUUCCAGGUGUAGCGGUGAAAUGCGUAGAGAUCUGGAGGAAUACCGAUGGCGAAGGCAGCCAUCUGGCCUAAUACUGACGCUGAGGUACGAAAGCAUGGGGAGCAAACAGG